AAUUCACAGUGAACAGGGUUUUUCCCCACUGGGUGCUUCAUUGUCUCACCAGUUCACUUGAACCUGUUUCAUUAUUUUUACACCCUUACGAAACGCUCGCAGCAAUAACUGCAACAGUAAAAAGAGAAGAAAGGAAGUAUUUAGUAAUAUUAAGAGAGAGGCAAGUUGGGGACAAUGCAUCUUGCAUUAUUUGCUGCUGCAAAGGGAAGAAAAAGACUGAGCCAAGAGAAUUUCUUACAUUCCUCAUGUAUCUAGAGUGACACCGUCCCUGUGAAGGUCACAGCGGACGGACACAGUGAGGUCAUGGUGGGGGGGGGCUGACUUUCUGCUCUAAACCUCCUUGAUCUUUAUAUAUUCUCUUUAGAUGGCUUAAUGUUAAUGCUUGGAGAACUGAGGAAUAUGUUAGAAGGGGGCCAAAGGCCCAUGUGAUUCCAGGUGGAUGUACCUGAAAUUCCCUGGCACUCGGUGAACAAUUUUCCAGGAUAUAGUUUGGUGGAAGCCUACUAGUCGUAAUGGUAACAGGUAUUAGCGGGAGAAAUUAUUUAUCUCUGUUUUUGAUCUCAUACUUAAUAUUGCCAUUGUGACCAUUACAGUGUUUCGUGGCUGUUACCCCACCCCCGUGUGAUAAGAGCACUGAGAACACAAAGAUAAAUGGCCCACAGCCUCGCUAAAGAGCCGUUCUUUCCAGGUGUCCAUGGAUCCGUGUCCUUGGGUGGAAUUCAGGGGCUUUGGGAACUUGAAUGGAGAAAAGAUCACAUUUUCAGUAACCUCUAACUGCAACGCAGCAUUUCCCUUAGAGAGAAAUGGUGAUGGGAAGCACAGAGGUAUCAGCCGCACCUGUGACUGUCACCAGGCGCACGCGUAUUUUCAUAUUGUAUCUCCUAUCACAGCUGUUUGCCGCUCUCUUGAAAUAUUGCGUCUACAUGUCACUACUUUGAAAUAACGGCUGUUGUUCGGCCUACCACUGGAUAUCGUCAUUUCACACCCCAGUAAAAAGGCACAUGUGUUCUUACAUCAAAUACAGGUUUUGCUAGUUGGCCGCCCGUAUUUCAUAAUAUCGUUGACUGCAUAUGCCUGCGUAUCUUACCUUAUUCUGAGAAGGAUUCACAAGGCUGCCAAAGGUGGCCGAGGUACCAAACGUCAUUGAGAACCCCGUUAACUGUACAGUUUCGGGGGGAGCUGCGAAGCCUAAACAUAAACGUCAGUCCAAAGUGGUGAAUGGCAGCCAGGGAUACACCCAGCAGCAUAGGAACCCAAGGAGGGGAUUGACUCAGCUUUGGAGAUUCCUGAGCUGCAUCUGGAAUGAAGCCUGAAGAGGAGGAGAGAGAAGCGGGAGGUCACUUGCCGAGAGGGACCUGAAGGAGCACGGGGCCCCGAAGCCACCAGGCCUCUGUGGAAGUGAGGAGUACCGAGUGUGAAAAGCUUCCUUGCUGUGCUGAGUCCUGGGGGUUCAAGAAUGAAUCAGCGACAGUCUACAUGAUGCCAACAUCCAGGUUGACUGCUUUCAGUUGAAUUCAACAACCAAAUGCCUGUUUUGUGCAAGGCUCUUUUCCAGGCACCGAGGAAGCAGCAAGCUGGAUAAAUCCUGGAGGUUCCUCCAGCCGGUGGGACAAAAGAACCAAAUGUUCUGUUUUUUUACAAAUUGAAGGUUCUGGACUUCAGUGGGAGAAGUAAGUGCAGAUGUGAAAAUUAGCAAGAGAACUGGAAUUAGCAGUGGAGCUGGAAGAUGGGACUGAAUUGUUCUGAUGACACGAUAAAACAUGAACGGAUGAGGGGUUGUUUCUUAAGAAUGAGCAAAGAAAGUAGUUUUUUGAGAUGGAAUCUACUCCUGGUGAAGAUGCCCUGAAGAUUGUUGAAAUGACAGCAAACGAUUUAGAAUUUACAUGAACUUAGUUGAGAAAGCAGAAACAGGGCUUGAGAGGAUGGACUCCAAUUUUGAAAGAAGUGUUAGUGGGGGGAAAAUGCAGUCAAACAGUAUCACAUGCUAUUCAGAGAAAUCAUCAUGAGUGGCGGAGUCAAACCAUGUGGCAGACUUUACUGUCUUAUUUUAAGAAAUUGCCACGGCCACCCCACCUUCAGCACCCCCCACCCAGAUCAGUCAGCAGCCACCCACACUGAGGCGAGACCCUCCACCAGCAAAAAGAUGAUGUCUCUCCAAAAGCUCAGAUGAUGGGCUCUAGACCCAAACUGCAGUAUCUCUGAGGUAUGCCUGUAUCUUCCAGACGAGCAAGCUGGAUUUGGGCUACAAAACAAUGGAGGAAAUAAGGAGUAAGGUGAAUGGUGCUUAUUAUUCUUGCAUACAAGCGUCCAUCCAUCCCACUAACACUGAGGAGACACCACUUAUCCGUCAGUCAUUGCAAGAGGAAGAAGAGUCAAACAAAAUUCCCUGCCUCCAGAAGUCCAAAGUUGGUGUUGGAGAGAGAGAUACUAAGUACAGUUUCAGAGACACAUGCUAAUAAAAUCUCACCUGUUA